GACGAACGCUGGCGGCGUGCCUAAUACAUGCAAGUUGAGCGCUGAAGGUUGGUACUUGUACCAACUGGAUGAGCAGCGAACGGGUGAGUAACGCGUGGGGAAUCUGCCUUUGAGCGGGGGACAACAUUUGGAAACGAAUGCUAAUACCGCAUAAAAACUUUAAACACAAGUUUUAAGUUUGAAAGAUGCAAUUGCAUCACUCAAAGAUGAUCCCGCGUUGUAUUAGCUAGUUGGUGAGGUAAAGGCUCACCAAGGCGAUGAUACAUAGCCGACCUGGAAGGGUGAUCGGCCACAUUGGGACUGAGACACGGCCCAAACUCCUACGGGAGGCAGCAGUAGGGAGUCUUCGGCAAUGGACGAAAGUCUGACCGAGCAACGCCGCGUGAGUGAAGAAGGUUUUCGGAUCGUAAAACUCUGUUGGUAGAGAAGAACGUUGGUGAGAGUGGAAAGCUCAUCAAGUGACGGUAACUACCCAGAAAGGGACGGCUAACUACGUG
rnacentral:rRNA from 1 species